AGGCCAGUAGCUCUAAUUGGUAGAGCAUCGGACUCCAAAUCCGAGGGUUGUAGGUUCGAGCCCUACCUGGCCUGCCA
rnacentral:tRNA from 1 species